rnacentral:rRNA from 1 species
AUUGAACGCUGGCGGCAGGCCUAACACAUGCAAGUCGAACGAGUGGCGGACGGGUGAGUAAUGUCUGGGAAACUGCCCGAUGGAGGGGGAUAACUACUGGACACGGUAGCUAAUACCGCAUACCAGCGGAUGUGCCCAGAUGGGAUUAGCUAGUAGGUGGGGUAAGGGCUCACCUAGGCGACGAUCCCUAGCUGGUCUGAGAGGAUGACCAGCCACACUGGAACUGCGACACUGUCCAGACUCCUACGGGAGGCAGCAGUGGGGAAUAUUGCACAAUGGGCGCAAGCCUGAUGCAGCCAUGCCGCGUGUAUGAAGAAGGUCUUCGGAUUGUAAAGCACUUUAAGUUGGGAGGCGUUACCAAAAGAAUAAGCACCGGCUAACUUCGUGCCAGCAGCCGCGGUAAUAC